UGGCACUGUGGCAGUGGGAUGUGCUAAUUGUUCGCCCACUGCCAUCUCCAUUUACCACUCACAGUGAACUGUGAGAGGUGGAGAAAGCGCAAAGUAUUUGCUUUUCUUUCCCUCAAACUUACCCAAAACAACGUAUCCUGCCAAAUAAACAUAAGGGGACCUCUGUAAAUCUGGCACCCGUGCAUAGAUCGUAUUACAAGGGACUAUUUAUAAUCCCCAGGAACAAACUAAAGGCUGUGUGGGGGUUGGGGGUUUCGCUUUGUUUUUAAUCAGGCUCUCAUUUUUUUCCUUUGAAAUGGGAAAAUAAAAUGCAUCUUCUAGAAAUUUAUCUAUUUCUUACUUUUGGAUUCAGUCUUGUAUUUCAGAUCCCUGCAAAUAGUUUUCCGGAGUUUGAAAUGGUAAGCACAUGUUCUGCGAACACAGCCAAGCCGUGAUAAGGAAUUCAUCUGUCUGCCUCUUCAAGUUCCAUUUUGUUUCUGCAGCUUUUAUGAUUGAAAAUGCACAUUUCUCAUGGGCACUCACAGAACUGAAACAGCAUGAUUUGCAAGCUCGCUAAAUGGAUUUCUUCCAAGCAAGUCAUUGGGGUAGUGUGAUGUCACCGGAGGUGCUCUUCCUGCCCGGGCUCUCAGCCUGGUCCUGGCAGACUGUGCCCACAGUGGGGACACAUGGACCCUGCUGGGGACUCAGAUGUCACCGCCUGCUCAGUGUCCACUGCUGUGCCUGUCCAGUGCCCGCUGUGCCUCAUGCAUGUGCCCCGAAGAAGCACAGCUUCCAAAUGCGUGCUAAAAAAAGCAACGCAGGGUAAAAGGGAGGAGUUAUAAAUGAUACCAAAGCUAGAAGGAAGAUGGGGACAAGCAUGGGAUGAGUGUUGGCAGCAGAAUGGCUCUGUGCUUGGUCUGGAUCUGCAUGAGCAUGGGAGGUGCGUUGCUCUGCACCGCUCUCAUGAGCCCCUGCCUGUAGUACUACGCUCUGCUCUGGGCCUCCAGCUCAAGGAGAACAUGGAGCUGUUGGAGUGAGUCCAGAGGAGGCUCAGAGGGCUGGAACACCUCUUCUACAGAGUCAGGUGGUGGCCAGUCUGGAGAAAAGAAGGCUCUGGGAAGACCUCCUUGUGUCCUUCCAGUAUCUAAAGGGGCUGCUGAAAGCUGGGGGGGGG
rnacentral:lncRNA from 1 species